GAUGAACGCUGGCGGCGUGCCUAAUACAUGCAAGUCGAGCGAACAGACGAGGAGCUUGCUCCUCUGACGUUAGCGGCGGACGGGUGAGUAACACGUGGAUAACCUACCUAUAGGACUGGGAUAACUUCGGGAAACCGGAGCUAAUACCGGAUAAUAUAUUGAACCGCAUGGUUCAAUAGUGAAAGACGGUUUUGCUGUCACUUAUAGAUGGAUCCGCGCCGCAUUAGCUAGUUGGUAAGGUAACGGCUUACCAAGGCAACGAUGCGUAGCCGACCUGAGAGGGUGAUCGGCCACACUGGAACUGAGACACGGUCCAGACUCUUACGGGAGGCAGCAGUAGGGAAUCUUCCGCAAUGGGCGAAAGCCUGACGGAGCAACGCCGCGUGAGUGAUGAAGGUCUUCGGAUCGUAAAACUCUAUUAUUAGGGAAGAACAAAUGUGUAAGUAACUAUGCACGUCUUGACGGUACCUAAUCAGAAAGCCACGGCUAACUACGUG
rnacentral:rRNA from 1 species